rnacentral:ncRNA from 1 species
ACAGAUAGAGGCGCAGCCACGAUCAGUAACUUCUUGUAUUAUUAUCAGGGCCCAACCCUAAGAUGUGAAAUGCAAGGCUGCCGAAGAUUUAAGCUUGGGAAACUUAUUUCUGAUCAUCGGCUCAACAGGUCGCUGAUUGUCAUCAUGUAAAGUGAUGGAGUGCUAUCA